CCUCCCCUCCAGAGCGUUCCUUCACCCAGUGAAACACGACAUCUCAUUACUGUUAAGGAUGUGAAAUGAUGCAGACAACAUUUUUCUUGAUCGUUGUCAUUUUGCUGUCUGGGCAGGCAGAAACUACAGAAAUCCCCAAUUUGACGACGGAAGAUUAUGUCGGAGUGCGUUUAGUUGGUGGAAACAGUUACCGGGAAGGGCGAGUAAUGGUCUACUACGACGGACGCUGGGGAACGAUAUGUGACCACGAGUUUGAUGAUAAUGAUGCUCGAGUUGUAUGCCGCAUGCUUGGACAUGGUGACCGAUAUGCCAAAGCUUAUGGCGGCGCCUGUUUUGGUGAAGGUAGCGGCAUGAUCUGGCUGAAUCACCUGCACUGUCAAGGGACUGAAUCCUCCUUAGCUCAGUGCUAUAAGGGAUACGGCUGGGGGUAAUUCCCACUGUUCACAUAGCGAGGACGUCGGGGUAUCUUGUGGUUUUUCAUACAGACGCUCCUGUACCAACUACAAUUAUACUACGAGUUGGCCAACUUCUGAAAGCCCUACAAUAGAAACGGUUUCUCCACCGAACCCUUGCUCGUACAAUCCAUGUUACAAUGGAGGUACAUGUGUCCCACAAAGAUCUUACUACUGGCCUUAUAACUAUGUGGACUACAACUGCACAUGCCCCUGGGCGAGAUACGGGAAGAGAUGUGAAUAUUACGGGUGGCAAACUACCGAAGGUCCCACGACAGAAUCGGUAACAUCA